rnacentral:rRNA from 1 species
UACGUAGGGUGCAAGCGUUAAUCGGAAUUACUGGGCGUAAAGCGUGCGCAGGCGGUUUUGUAAGUCUGUCGUGAAGUCCCCCGGGCUCAACCUGGGAAUGGCGAUGGAGACUGCAAGGCUAGAGUUUGGCAGAGGGGGGUAGAAUUCCACGUGUUAGCAGUGGAAAUGCGUAGAUAUGAUGGAGGAACACCGAUGGCGAAGGCAGCCCCCCUGGGUCAAAACCUGACGCUCAUGACACGAAAGCGUGGG